rnacentral:rRNA from 1 species
AUAUCACUAAGCGGAGGAGAAGAAAUUAACUAAGAUUGCCUCAGUAACGGCGAGUGAAGCGGCAAAAGCCCAAUCUGUAAAUCUUGUGCACUACGUGUACACGAAUUGUAAUCUACAGAGGGUUCGCUCACCGGGUGAUGGCGCAGAAGUGACCUAGAACGGUCCGCCAAAGAGGGUGACAGCCCCGUCUGUGGUGCCAUUACCUAACGAGCGGGUUCUCCAAGAGUCGGGUUGUUUUGUAUUGCAGCCCUAAGUGGGAGAUAAACUUCUUCUAAGGCUAAAUAUCUAUGGGAGACCGAUAGCGCACAAGUA